GACGAACGCUGGCGGCGUGCCUAAUACAUUCAAGUAGAACGCUGAAGGAGGAGCUUGCUUCUCUGGAUGAGUUGCGAACGGGUGAGUAACGCGUAGGUAACCUUCCUGGUAGCGGGGGAUAACUAUUGGAAACGAUAGCUAAUACCGCAUAAUAGUAGAUGUUGCAUGACAUUUGCUUAAAAGGUGCAAUUGCAUCCCUACCAGAUGGACCUGCGUUGUAUUAGCUAGUUGGUGGGGUAACGGCUCACCAAGGCGACGAUACAUAGCCGACCUGAGAGGGUGAUCGGCCACACUGGGACUGAGACACGGCCCAGACUCCUACGGGAGGCAGCAGUAGGGAAUCUUCGGCAAUGGACGGAAGUCUGACCGAGCAACGCCGCGUGAGUGAAGAAGGUUUUCGGAUCGUAAAGCUCUGUUGUAAGAGAAGAACGAGUGUGAGAGUGGAAAGUUCACACUGUGACGGUAUCUUACCAGAAAGGGACGGCUAACUACGUG
rnacentral:rRNA from 1 species